AAGAACACAAAAGGAGAGAAUUUCAUAAUGUUUUCAAAGGGACUGGGGCAGAGACAGCCCAUAUGCUUCUCUUGAAGAGGAGACAUCAGGAGAGGAGGAAGAUGCUGUUGUUAUAUCCAGAUGUCAUCCAAGAUAGUGGACUCAAGUAUCCGAGCCUGUUAGGAUGCUGCUCUUGGUCUUAUGAUAAGUCCUCCAUUCUCUACAGAUAUGUACAAUUUGCAAGCAGGAAAUAAAGAUAUUUGAACAUGGCACAGAGUUUCUUCCUUCAAUCCCAAGGAACACACAGAGAGAAGUAUAGAAGCAGACCUUCUCUAAACUGGUCCCAGGCACUGUAGGGCUUGAAAGGAAGGACUAUUUUGGAUUGGGCUCAGAAGAAGACCAAUCUAGAGCUUAGAUUUGUUGAGGAAUGCAUUUAAAAGUAUGCAAUACAAGUUGUCACCCGCUCGUUUGCUGGUGACUCAGGACCAGGCCUUCUCUGUGGCUGCCCCGGGGCUUUGGAAUAUGCUCCCUGUCGACAUAACAGCAUCUGAUUGCCUUUAAGAAGACCAUCAACUGUUUUCUCAGGCUUUUAACUGAAAUUAAUUUUAAACUGUUUAAUUGCUUUUAUCCUAUGAAAUUGUUUUAACUUUUUCAUUCUGUGAAAUUGUUUUUACUGUUUUAUAUUUGUUGUGUUAAAUUGUGUACACUGCCUAGAGAUACACAUAUCAGGCGGCAGAUAGAUAGAUAGAUAGAUCUGUUGUGAUCACUAUGAACCUGACCAAAUAAUGCUAAUGUUUCCUAAUGAUGUGCAUAGUCCCCUUAUCAGACAAUUCCAUUGCAGGGGUGGAGUCUCAGACCUGUGAUCUGAAGAGUUGGGGGAUGGGGUAGGAGAGAAACAGGCAUUUUUGUUUCGAGUUUUGAAAGUAGAUGCUGGCAAGACAGCUUAGAGUGUAUUUUAUUUGUUUGUUUGUUUGAUUUUUAUACUGCCCACCCAAAUGGCUAACAAAUAUAAAACCAGCUAAAAAACAAAUUCCUCAUUAAACCCAGUUUAAAAUCAUUUCAGUACUCACUAAAGGCCAGUUCUAGCCAAAGUUAGGUGGACCUGGAAGUGUAGCUCUGGAGGGAGUGCACAAGUUAUUCUCUGGGGAUCUGCUGCAUGCUGUGUGAGUGCCAUCACUGCAUAUAAUCAUUGUAAAAAUAAAUAUUUAUAU